AGAAUAAUAUCUUGAUUUGCACUCCAUGUUUGAUUAAUGUGAAUGGCCAGAGGAUGCAACCUCCAAAUAUCAGUUUUCUUUUUAAUGCUCUUUUAGUAAAUAUUAGAAAUUUUAUUUUGCACUGCUUAUUUUGUUUUUUUAAUUUUUUAAUUUUUUUUAUUUUACAAUGAUUUUUAUUUUUUCCAUUAUAGCUGGUUUAGAGUGUUCUGUCAAUUUUCUACUGUACAGCAAGGUGACCCAGUUACACAUACAUGUAUACAUUCUUUUUUCUCACAUUAUCAUGGUCCAUCAUGUGUGACUAGACUAGACAUAGUUCCCAGUGCUAUACAGCAGGAUCUCAUUGCACUGCUUAUUUUGUUUUGUGUUAGUUCACACUUCCUAUUGAGGCAACUCUUUUUUUUUUUUUUUUUUUUUUUUUCCUUUUGGUGUUGCACCCCAAGUACAUGGAGGCUCCCAGGUUAGGGGUUGAAUUGGAGCUACAGCUGCUGGCCUACACCAUAGCCACAGCAACGCCAGCCAGAUCUGUAACCCACUGAGCGAGGCCAGAGAUCAAACCCGAGACCUCACGGCUCCUAGUUGGGUUCGUUUCUGCUGCACCAUGACAGGAACUCCCAUCGAGGCACUCUUGAUGUUUACUAUUACCUACUAGAGCAUAAAACAAGUAUUCACUAAUGUUCAAACUAAUGCCCAAUACUUUAUCUCAAAUAAUUUUCUAUGAUGUAUAGCUUUAAAUAAUAUUUUUAUUAGUUUUAAAUCAUUAUAUAUAUAGAAAUAAAUACCGUUCUAUUAAUCAAUUCAUAAAAUAUGGAGAACAUGUUUCUUUUGAAAGUGACACAGUGGCUACAAUGGUAUUUGGAAAAAUAUACAUAGAAACUGAGCAUAUGGGCAUGCAAGUGUAGCAUAUGGAUUUCCAUAUGUUAAGACACUUCAAGAAACAUGGCCAUAGUAUUGAUAAUAGUGUGGUAUGAUGCCCUGAUUUAAUUAAACAUUGGAGUCCUUCAUUUAGCAGUAGUAAAAAACCUUACUAACAUUUUAAGAAGGACUUAUUCUUAAAGUAGUGGCUCUUAAACCUGGCCAGAUAUUAGAAUUGCCUGGGGAACUUUGAAACUUUUCUCAUACCUGAGGGCUCACCCAAAGGCAUUGUUAUUUAAUUGAUUUAGGGUUACAGUGCAAACCAGAAUUUUUUUUUUUAAGUUCUCCUUUGUGUAGACAGGAUUGAGAACUAUUGCUCUCAAAGUAUCAAAUAAGACACUGCUUUUAAGUUCCUCCAAAACAACUUUAUAAUUUUUUUUCCUAAAAAGUGGCAGUGAUAGUAUGAAAGAUAUGUUUGCUCAACACCUAAGUUGAGUCAUCUAAGCAUCAAAAAUUGAAGUGCCUUCAAGCCAAAACUAAAUAAUGCAAACUGUUUUUUUUUUUCUUUAUUGCAAAGCAAGUUAGGAUUCCAUUUCAAUGUGCUUCUUUAUUGCUUUUCUAUUUCUGAAAAACAGUAUUACAGUCCCAUAGUAAACCGAAAUGGACUGAAGAAAGGUGGUUAAACACUGAGAAUGCUAUCUGAGUGUGGUCUGUAGAAAUAUCUUACCACUCAAUAGCCUCAACAAGGGAUUACAUUUCAAAACAUAUGAUUAAUGGUAAUAAAAGAAAAAGAUAGUUUUAUUUUGGCAGUAAGUUUGCAUUUUUCAGUUACUAUAAAAAUGCAGCUUUCUGUAACAUGAUAGUGCUAAAAAAAUCUUUCUGUUUAGGGUAUUGCUUGUGAAAUGAUGUACUGGCUUUCUACAUAUUAAACUUUUCAAAAUGGAUUUUGCUCUCUACAUUUCAGUGACCUCCAAUAGGUAAUGUUAUUAUUCAACUGUAACCUGCUAUUAAGAUCAGAAUAAGAAAUAGCAGCUUUAGAUUUUUUUAUCUUUUUUGUUUUGUUUUGUUUUUGUUCCCUUCUCAGUAAUUUCUUUUUUUAUUCAUCUUCAGAUUUAUCCAUCCCUGGCAAUUUCAAGCUAGAAGAAACAAAUUAAGAAAAAAAAUUAAUUGACUUUAUUUGCUUUAAUGCUGCCAACUCAUAUUAUCUGCUUUCUUAAAUGAGUUUGGAAUUGCCAGCUUUGAGGGUAUUACACUACAUUUUGGGUUGCUGCCAGCAUAUCCUGAGCAAAUAUAUUUAAAUCAAAGCUAAGCUGCUUAAAUAUUCAUGUUAUGCUCUUAUUAUGGUUUAGAGAAAUGUGAAACCAUUUAAGAUUUGCAAACCUGUUACAUGGCCAAAAAAUGUAUUUGAACUGUCAGAAAUAUGCUUUAAAUUGAUAAUGUUAACCUACUUUAAUAAGGAAAGGUUUCCAUAUCUUAUUAGUUGUGAUGCAUUCAAAAUGUCUAAUUUGUUUGUGAUUUUCCAGUCACUAGAGCAAUACAAAUGUAAUCUUUUUCAUCUGAAAUAUAUAUUGGGAAUGCACCCCAGAAGGUUAUGAUACUAAAUGUGUAGAUUGGAGUUCCCGUUGUGGCUCAGUGGUUAACGAAUCCAACUAGGACCCAUGAGGUUGUGGGUUCGAUCCCUGCCCUUGUUCAGUGGGUUAAGGAUCCAGUGUUGCCGUGAGCUGUGGCAUAGUUCGCAGAUGCGGCUUGGAUCCCGCAUUACUGUGGCUGUGGCAUAGGCCGGCUGCUACAGCUCCAAUUAGAUCCUACCCUGGGAACCUCCAUAUGCCUCGGGAGCGGCCCUAGAAAAGGCAAGAAGAAAAAAAAAAAGUGUAGAUCCUUCCAGUCCUUGUGCUCUAUGUCUACACUUUGAUUUUUUUUAUAAGCUCCCAUUUAGCAUAUAUAUGUUAAAUUUUACUGCAUUAAGUUUUCCUUCUAGCUUCAUUGACAUGUUCCUUCCAAAACAUACAAUUUAGAACUUUUCUGUAAAACAUCAAUUUACUUCCCAGUGACAAGCUUUGAGGAGUCCCAAUUGUGUGAGCAAAGCAUAAGUUAUAAAAAGGGAAAUUAUCAAGAAACGCUAAAUACCAAAUAAUUGUUACCUGAAACGAUAAAGAAAGCAAAGGAAAAGAAGCUCACACCUUUGUAUACGGGGUGAAAUUGAGGUCUUCCUCCUGCAGACUGAAGCAAGUGGACUUAUUUUGCUGCUGCCUCCUACCCCUAGUGCCUUCUGCUCCAUCUUCUUAGACUGGCAGCAUUACUAACUGAAGAUUAAAACAUUUGGUUGUAUAUAAAACAGGUUUGUUCCUUUGAUUUUCCUUAAAGACAGAAAUGCUACAGAAUUUUAAAAUUCCAGAAUACCAAAAGCUAUGUGUUUAUACUCAUAGAUUUUAAUGACAGUGGAAUAAUCUAUGAUAUAUGGGAUGGAGCAUUUUUAAAGCUUUCUGAGAGAUCCAAUAUAAAUUCAUGAGAUACUAGUGAGAAUUGCCAGUGUCCAACCUCUAGCCCUCACAUGAGUAUGGCCAAGCAUGCUAGCAGAGGCAGGUUUCAAAAGCUAGUGCAGCUGUCCCAGACAAGCCGCUGGUGCUGUAUUAUGCCUUCUGUUUAAAUGUUUGCAUUUCAACAUAGGAGACUAACCGGUUACAGCAGUAGGCCCAGCUGUGUGCUUAGUAUAAUAUGCCCUAGACUGAGCUCUUUUUAGAAUUCCUAAAACUAAACCCUUGGAGGGUGCAGUGCAACCAUCAGCUUUUACUGAAUUCUGCUCUAUGUGUUGUAGUGUUAGAGAAGUUCCCACAGGUAAUUUUUUGCUUCCAUGAGGCAUAAGCCUACUGGGGCAGCUCGUGAGAGGAUUACCGGUUCAUCUGCUUUAGUGCUCUGCAAAGAAGUGGAAUUUUUAAAAAUUGUUUUUUUGAGGUGAAGUUGAUGUACAAAUAUAUAAUGUUCACAUAUAUAACAUAGUGUGAUUCACAAUUUUUAAAGGUUUUAUUCCAUUUAUAAUUAUUAUAGAACAUUGGCUAUAUUCCCUGUGUUUUACAAUAUAUAUCCUUGUAGCUUAUUUCUCCUUCUUCUAUCUUGUCCCUCUUCCCUCUGUCUUCCUACCAAUAACCACUAGUUUAUUCUCUGUAUCUGUGAGCCUGCUUCUGUUUUGCUAUAUUCACUAGUUUUAUUUUUUAGAUUCCAUAUCUAAAUGAUAUCAUAUAGUAUUUUUUUUCUGACUUAUUUCACUUAGUGUUAUAUUUUUCAAGGCUAUCCAUGUUGUUACAAAUGGCAAAAUUUUAUUCUUUUUUAUGGCUGAGUAAUAGUUGUGUGUGUGUGUAUGUAAUUGUGAAAAAUGCUGCUAGGAACAUUAGGCGCAUGUAUCUUUUCAAAUUAGUGUUUUCAUUUCUUUUUUUCAGGGGGAAUAAAUAUCCAGAAAUACAAUUGCUGGGACUUAUGGUAGCUCUAUUUUUAGUUUUUUGAGAAACCUUCCUAGUGUUUUCCAUAGUAGCUGCACCAAUUUAAACCCCCUCCAACAGUGUAUGAAGGUUCCCUUUUCUCCACAUUCUUGCCAAUAUUUACUGUUUGUCUUUUUGAUGAUAGCCAAGGAGGAAUUUAACCUUUUUGGUAUAAAUUUGCUGAUUCUCAAGAGUUUUAGACAUUGAUCAUGAAUAUUUGUGUAAUUCUUCAUUUGAAAUUCAGUGUUAGUCCUGCCUUAAGAUUUGAAAUCAGAUCAACAACACAUAAUCAUCAGAACUAUUUUCAACUUUUAAAUUAAAAGUUAUGUUUUAAAAGUAUGAACUUUGGAGUUCCUGUUGUGGUGCACCGGAAAUGAAUCCGACUGGGAACCAUGAGGUUGCGGGUUUGAUCCCUGGCCUGGCUCAGUGGGUUAAGGAUCCAUCGUUGCCAUGAGCUGCGGUGUAGGUUGUGACGUGGCUUGGAUCCCACAUUGCUGUAGCUGUGGUGUGGGCCAGCAGCUUCAGCUCCGAUUGGACCCCUGGCCUGGGAACCUCUAUAUGCUACGGGUGCUCUAUAUGCUAAAAAGCUAAAAAAAAAGUAAAAAUAAAAGUAUGGACUUGUACACCAUUUGUGAAAGAGAGUGAACAAUCUCUCUGUUCUUAAAAUAAUAUGAUGAUGUUGCUAAGUCAGAAUUAAAAUACUCAAUAUUAUAUGGAUAGUGUUUGGGGUAAAACAUAAUGAUCACUUUAAAAUAACCUAAACAAAAUUUUGGUUUUAAUAAUAUAGUAAUAUGUAUAAGUAUGCUUUUAAUAUAAUAAGUAUGCUUUUCUAAUUAAAUAUUUUUAUUAUAGAAAUUAAACAACA
rnacentral:lncRNA from 1 species